GGCUGCCUCGAGAGGCUAGUAACAAGUUUCCACCCGUGGUGCGGGGUCCGAAGCCCACACCUGGAAACCCAGGGAAGUAAAGUUGCGUCUUGAUCGUGGAGGCGACAGCUUCACGAAUUCCUGGAGAUGACGGCGUCCGGGAGUUGUAUGGCCCAGAAAACCUGGGAACUGGCCAACAACAUGCAGGAAGCCCAGAGCAUCGACGAAAUCUACAAAUACGACAAGAAGCAGCAGCAAGAAAUCCUGGCGGCGAAGCCUUGGACUAAGGAUCACCAUUACUUUAAGUACUGCAAAAUCUCAGCAUUGGCUCUACUGAAAAUGGUGAUGCACGCCAGAUCAGGAGGCAACCUGGAAGUGAUGGGCUUGAUGCUGGGAAAGGUGGAUGGUGAAACUAUGAUCAUUAUGGACAGUUUUGCUUUGCCUGUAGAGGGCACUGAAACCCGAGUAAAUGCUCAGGCUGCUGCAUAUGAGUACAUGGCUGCAUAUAUAGAAAAUGCCAAACAGGUUGGCCGCCUUGAAAAUGCAAUUGGCUGGUAUCAUAGCCACCCUGGCUAUGGCUGCUGGCUUUCUGGGAUUGAUGUUAGUACUCAGAUGCUCAAUCAGCAGUUCCAGGAGCCAUUCGUAGCAGUGGUGAUUGACCCAACAAGAACAAUAUCUGCAGGGAAAGUGAAUCUUGGAGCCUUUAGGACAUACCCAAAGGGCUACAAACCUCCUGAUGAGGGACCUUCUGAGUACCAGACUAUCCCACUUAAUAAAAUAGAAGACUUUGGUGUACACUGCAAACAAUAUUAUGCCUUAGAAGUCUCAUAUUUCAAGUCCUCUCUGGAUCGCAAAUUGCUUGAGCUUUUGUGGAAUAAAUACUGGGUGAAUACAUUGAGUUCCUCUAGCUUGCUUACUAAUGCAGACUAUACCACCGGCCAGGUUUUUGAUUUGUCUGAAAAAUUAGAACAGUCAGAAGCCCAGCUGGGACGAGGGAGUUUCAUGUUGGGUUUAGAAACACACGACCGAAAGUCAGAAGACAAACUUGCCAAAGCUACGCGAGACAGGUAAGAGCAAAUCUGUUCUAGCCCCUCUUUCUGUUUCAAGAUUUGCAAGUAAUAGUAGGAUUCAGAUUCCUUAUGGUUUAACUUACUUAUAACUUAGAAUCGUGCCUGAAUAUUAACUUCUUGGGACCCUUAAGAGUUAUCAGAGGCAGAUCUUAACUUUGAAAAUAUGGAGACUUUAGAUAAGAACAUUAAAAUCUUAGAGGUCUAGGUAAUGUUAUAAAAAAAUCCUUUUCUAGGAGUCACACCUUUUCUAGGUUUAGGUAGAAAAUGUAACAAAGAAAACCAAUCAGUCACUGAGUCUUUGAAAAAAAGCUUUUGCAAAAGGAUGCCAUAAUCCAUUCUAACCUAAUUAUUUUCUGAGGAAUUAAAAUAGGAUUUCUUAAAUUUUAAAUUUAUCAAAUUUCAAAGUUUUAUAAAGUUUUAAGCCCCUUAAUAGCACACUAAUGAUUGUAUCUCCCUUGUUAUUCUUCUGAAAUUAUCUUUGGUUUAGUAUCCCAAAUUUCACUAUCAAGAUUUGUUAGGAACAAACUUGGGAUAUGUUCUCUUGAUAACUUAGGAAAUAAUUAUGUGGCCCUUCAGAUGCAUACAGGAUUGGGAAGACCACCUAAAUGACAUUUACUUUCAAAAAAAUUUUGAGUUUUAAUGUGAUAAUUAGGGGCAGAAAGGAGGGGGAAAUUAUGUUGACAUCUGUAUAAACUGAAACCUUGGUAUCCAUUUUAAGAAAAACUGGCCUGGUAGAUGGAAAGAAGGGAAGAGGGAAGACAUUGUAUUCGGAGCAGAAGCCCUCUUGGCUGUAAAACGACCAUAGAAGCUAUCCAUGGAUUGAUGUCUCAGGUUAUUAAGGAUAAACUGUUUAAUCAAAUUAAUAUUUCUUAAA